UACAGAGGGUGCGAGCGUUAAUCGGAGUUACUGGGCGUAAAGGGCGCGUAGGCGGUUAUAUAAGAUUGAUGUGAAAUCCCUGGGCUUAACCUAGGAACUGCAUCGAUGACUGUAUGGCUGGAGUACUGUAGAGGGUAGUGGAAUUUCCGGUGUAGCGGUGAAAUGCGUAGAGAUCGGAAGGAACACCAGUGGCGAAGGCGGCUACCUGGACAGAUACUGACGCUGAGGCGCGAGAGCGUGGGGAGCAAACAGG
rnacentral:rRNA from 1 species